rfam:TPA: Bos taurus chromosome X, whole genome shotgun sequence.
UCCCUGGUGAUCUAGUGGCUAAGACUCAAUGCUCACGAUGCAGGAGGCCCAGGUUCGAUCCCUGGUCAGGGAA